UUCGUCUCCUCCACUCGGCAAUUUCUGCGGUGGAGUGUUCAAACCUCGGCGAAGGCGCUCAUUUUUUUUUUUACAAUUUCUCCCAAAAAAUGGUUGGCAUGCAAAUCGGAAAAUUAUAAAGAUAAACGUGGAUAGAGGAAGGAUAAAUAAUCAUUUUUUUAAGAAUCUAUUCAUCACUUCAUACAUUCUCGCUCACGAUUUUCCAUUUUCGCACGAAUAAAGUAUCUACAAGGAGGCUCUUUCCACGUCACCCAAGAGGUAGCGUCAUCGACGCGUUUUAUUUAAAGUGCUAUCCCCCGUAGGCCUAAUCCACUAAGGCGAGGGAUGGACAAUCAUUAUGAUCUGCAAACCUGGAAGCGAAAAGAAAUAAAUAACGUGAAAAACAUAUCGUAGAACACAAUUGUCGAGAGCUGGAAGAUCCAAUCGAGCUUCGGGAACCCAUCCUGGUGAUUAUUGUGGUCCUUGAAUUGCAACACCGAACAGCUUAGAAGAGUGGCGAUGACCAGGAGUUGAGGGGAACGUGAAAGUGAUCGCCGCUUACGAAACCUUGUCCCCUGUUUUUCACUUGAGAAUACCUCCCUAAAUCAUACCUUAGCGCCACAACAAGACACACACACGCUUUGAUCGCGUUGUGGCAGAUCGUCUUAUCACAUUCAAAAGUCACAAUGUGCACAGUGUGCAUACCCAGCUAAGAAGAUGCGUUCCUACAACUGGUCCAUCAAAGCCAAGAGGAGGAAGACCACUGGCACUGGACGUAUGCGUCACCUUAAGAUCGUUCGUCGCAAGUUCAAGAAUGGAUUCAGGGAGGGACUUCCAAAAGCGAAAGCAGUCGCCACCAAAUAAGUGAUUCUAUAAUGAGCAUCUGUUUUACUUCAAUAAAGAUCAUGAAAUUUUGUAAAGCUAAUAUCGUAAUUAUUCAUUCAUCACGUUUCUGAUUAGAAAUAUUUGAACAAAGUAAGAUACUCAGCAUAAAUUUGAAUAAAUCAUUUAACACCGAAUAAUAAUGAGCUGAUAAUUGUCGAUUACGUCCUGGAGAUCACUGAUAGGGCUAGUCAAGAGGCUGAUCAAUAGCAAAUCAUUUCUAUGUACGACUGCCGAUUCGAUAUCCCUGCAACCCCACUUGGCACUCUGACAUCCAAGGUUGGUCUGCAAAUUCCUCCGGCAUGCCAACAAUAUUCACAAUCCAAUUGAAAUAUGUAAAGACAUCCGUUAGAAUAAGAUAGUCUCGUUUUUUUGGUUUUGACGAUAUUAUUCCAGCAAGUCUGUCCUUGAAUAUGAAAGCGGAACCGCUGUCACCCUAUUUCAAAAAGAUUUAUCAGAUAAGGAUUUUUUUCGAUAAAGUACUCAGGUUUUAUAUUAAUGUCAUUCUUUUGUCCUUAUGCAACAAAUAUCUGAAAAAACUUGGGAAAAUAUAGGGGUCAAUUUUAUCAAUACAUUGAAAUAGAGAAAUGUUGUAGGUGUGUACUUACCGGUGUCGAAUUAACGGUUUCACUCCGGACACAAAUUCGAUUAAAUUGGAACCAAUUUGUGCACGGUACGACCUUAAACGUGGCUUUUUUCAUCGUUCCGAGUGUAUUGGGAUCUGAAGAUGUCGGUCCGGCCCCAAGCAGAAUACCUUCGGCAUCGAACUCGGGGCUGGUGCAUGGUAACUUAAUAAUUUGUUGGGUAGGGCCUAGCUCUACAACUUUGUUUAACUGGAAGAAUGAGGGCGUUUUUAUGGUUAUAAAACCUCAGUUGAUAACUUGCCUCAUUGUCAAUUUCCAAGCUGAGAAGGGUUCACGUACCUCGAGAAUGGCUAUAUCGUUACUUGACGAUGGAGUUAAUUCUUUCUGAACGUUCCAGCGUUCGUGUCUAUAUAUUCUUUUAACAGUGUAGUCGUUGCCACGCAGAAAAACAGUAGCAACCCCCGCUCUGACAAAGAUAUUCUGCGGGAGCCAGUAGUAAGGGAAUGCCAUAAAUGUUUUCUUGUAGAAGACGGUACAGUGUGCGGCAGUCAGUACAUGAGUUGGGGUAAUGAGCGAUCCGCUACAGAAGUCCGUGUUCAUUGUUCCAUUCAACUUGUACACGGUAAGGAUGAAGACAUUUGAUGGAAAUUCUUCAAUUAGGGCGUCUUCCCCAUUAAUCAUUCUUGCUUGUCGUCGUGCCUCAACAUCUUUUUAAGGGUAAAGCUUGAUGUAAAUCUAACUUAUGUUUUUUUGCAGUUUUAUGUCAACACCUUUUAUUCUGCAAUCUAAUAAAUUGCAGCCUAAUCGCAAAGUAGAAGACUAACAGUUUUUAAACUUUACCUUUAGCAUCGUAGAAUAUAAAGCAGAUGUAGAUCAACGAAAUUGUAUUAAAUUUUGCAAAAAACAUGCUGGUCGGUGUGAUAGGCAACAUACUGAACAAUGGAUCACUAAAGGCCAGUUUUAUGUAUCAUUGGAUGCCAGUGCCAUAAGGCGAGAAUUAUAUUGGAAAGUUUAGAAGUUUCAAUAUUUUUUGAAGUUUAUCAAAAAAUUCAGUACAAUAAAGUUGACCAUCAUCAGCGAUAAUACACGUGUUUACAAAUGAAGAAUGUUCAUAUUGAGAAUAAAUUUGGUCUGGUUUAGUAUACAUCUAAUGGCCCUGGCCAGAUAAGGAAGUCCGCAUUCCUCGAACUGCAUAUUCUUUCGGUUUUAUGAUUCCACAUAAAAGAGAAGAUAAUAUUUUGUGAAGGUUAAAAGAUCGAGCGCAUAAAUUCCAAUGGUGUUUCGGCCAUUUUUGUGACUGAUGGUAAAUUGAUAGGGGGUAUAAAACAAUCAAUAAUAACUUUUGACGUCUGGCUUCGUUAAAAAACAGAAUUUUUCCCGAUUAAUCACAUUCAUCAGGAAAUAUUUUCUGAACCAUGUGAUGUAAAUCACUUUUCAUGCUGACCUAAAACCCAGGGAAGUAUAUUCAUGAAUUUUGUUUUGUGUUUCCAAUUGGGUGACGUGGAAAGAGUCUCCCUGUAAAUACUUUAUUCCUACGAAUAUGGAAAAUCGUGAGCGAGAAUGUAUGAAGGGAUGAAUAGAUUCUUCAAAAAAUCAUCAUCUAUCCUUUCGCUAUCCAUGUUUUUCUUUAUAAUAUUCCGAUUUGCAUGCCAACCUUUUGUUGGGAGAAAUUGUAAAAAAAACAUUGAGCGCCUUCGCCGAGAUUUGAACGCUCCACCGUAGAAAUUGCCGAGUGCAAAUGAGUAAUAGUUGAAUAAUUUUCCUGUUGUGUCGGCCGAAUUAUUCCAAGUCUUGAUUCCUAUUUCCUAGAUUUCAUUACCUUUUACCAGCUUUACACCUUUUAAUUAAAAAAAAAAAAAUCUUUAGAGGAGAGUGUUGAUCCUCGUGUUGAUCCUAUCAGUUUAUGAGACAAAUGUAACUCUCGCGAAUCUAACGAUAUUACUCGUUACUUGUCUAUUUAUCUUGUGUUAAAUAAUAUUCGUUGGUCUGUUUAUAAAUACCAAUUCACCACUAUUGUGUUCGAAACCUGGAAAAAAUAUAUUGGAAAUGGGAUAAUGGUUCAAUAAUCAAAUGUGUGAAUUCCGUUUUAAUUCUUUUAUUUUAUACGCUGAAAAGGCACAAGCGCUCUGCUUCGUUUCCUUGAAGGAACUAACUAAUUACAUUCGUCUUCUCCCACCACAAGACCGAACGCGCGCUUCAGCGCGCGGAAAAUGAUGGAUGAGUUUUGUUUCUGUCAUAUAAAUCAAUUUGAUUCACCUUUGAUUCGUCCGAAAGCAUUUGACAUCAACACUUGAAUCAUAGUGAGUGAGUGAUCAACACUUGAAUCUCUCUCUCACGGUGAAUCAUAACGAUCUUUACAUUAUGUUUUAAAAGUAGCGCCUAAAAUUUAAACGACCAAUAGGAUACUGGCUACAUCUUUGCGAGAUUUCGAUUCGAUUCGAGAUUUUCGAUACGAUAUGUGGCUCUUCUUUUUAGAAUAGGAUCCUACUCCCUCAUUCACGAAAUCUCUCCUCUUCUCUCGCUAAAGCUUUUCCACAGUAAAUAAGUAUUUGUAAAUGAGUAUUUGUUAUUUUAUGCUUGGAAUAAAAUUAAACAACGCUCAGCAGCUUCUACAUUAUUGGGGGGAAAUCAUGGCUGAGGAUCAAAUUGGUUGGGUUGAAAUGAAACGGCCAGAAUUCAUUAACUCGUUGUUUAUCAAAUCCGAUCACUCUUCUCCCUUUUCAGUUCAGACAGUAGAUUAAUUGUGUUACUAUUAUCAUUGUAGGAAUGGAUUCAGGGAGGGACUUCCAAAAGCGAAAGCAGUCGCCACCAAAUAAGUGAUUCUAUAAUGAGCAUCUGUUUUACUUCAAUAAAGAUCAUGAAGUUUUGUGAAGCAAAUAUCGAAAUUAUUCAUUCAUCACGUUUCUGAUUAGAAAUAUUUGAACAAAGUAAGAUACUCAGCAUAAAUUUGAAUAAAUCAUUUAACACCGAAUAAUAAUGAGCUGAUAAUUGUCGAUUACGUCCUGGAGAUCACUGAUAGGGCUAGUCAAGAGGCUGAUCAAUAGCAAAUCAUUUCUAUGUACGACUGCCCAUUCGAUAUUCGUGCAACUCCACUUGUCAGCCUAACAUAUGAGGUUGGUUUGCAAAUUCCUCCGGCAUGCCAAUCUGAUUCACAAUCCAAUUGAAAUAGUUAAAGAUAUCCGUUAGAAUAAAAUAGUUUCGUGUUCUUGGUAUUGCCGAAAUUAUUCCAGCAAGUCUGCCGUUGUAUAUGAAAGCGGAACCACUGUCACCCUAUUUCAAAAAGAUUUAUCAGAUAAGGAUUUUUUUCGAUAAAGUACUCAGGUUUUACAUUAAUUUCGUUCUUUUGUCCUUAUGCAACAAUUAUCUGAAAAAAAUAUGUGCAUGAAAUUCAUGCACGACAGAAGUGAAAGUUCUUAGCCACAGACUGUUAAAAAGUUUUGUCUGAAUUUUUUGUGAUAAUUUUCGGGAAUUUUUAUUGAGCCACACAGGAAGAUUUCAGAACAUUUUGUCAUUGAAAAUUCGAAAUCUCGUGGAGAAAGCAAAUAGAAUAGUCAAUUUCUGUUCCAUACUUUCCUGAAAAUGAACAGAAAACAAGGAAAUUGCUGUCACUGCAUUUUUGAAUUCGGGGAACAGUGACACCAAAGCCCAUUUAAGACAAAAAAUCAGGAAAUUUACGAUUUCAUUGAAAAAUCAAGGAAGUUGAUCUCCAAUAUUCAUAUUAGAGUAUAUAUUCAAAUGAGAAUUAAGAAAUUCUCAUUUUUGUACCGCUUAAUGUUCGGGAAUUUUACUGAAGGAUAAGUUAGACCGGAGAUUUCAUGAUUUUCAAAUGUGUAAAAAGCAUUUAAUGCGACUGGAUUGAUAAUUCCCAGUGAACUAUCCCGAUAUUAAUAAAAAGGUUUGUUUAGUAUUGCUCAUCAUAUUAACAAAAUGAGCCAUGUUCCUACUCCGACUCUAUCACGUUUUCGUUUCUCUCCCAUGUCUCAUUCCGUCCGCCUGCCCCACCACGCGCGCCAUCCCCUCCCUUUUCCUGUCGCUUUUUCGUUACAUAUGAUAUUGGAUUUACAGCCCAACGAGCGCAAAGAAGUUUCACUUCAAAAACUUGGGACGAUAUAGGAGUGAAUUUUAUCAAUACAUUGAAAUAGAGAAAUGUUGUAGGUGUGUACUUGCCGUUGUCACGUUAGCGGUUUCACUCCGGACACAAAUUAGACCAUAUUGAAGCCAAUUCGUGCACGGUACGACCUUAUACGUGGCUUUUUUCAUCGUUCCGAGUGUUCUGGGAUCUGAAGAGGUGGAUCCAGAUCCAAGCAGAAUACCUUCGGCACCGAACGGGGGGCUGGCGCAUGGUAACUUAAUAAUUUGUUGGGUAGGGCCUAGCUCUACAACUUCGUUUAACUGGAAGUAUGAGGGCGUUUUUAUGGUCAUAAAACUUCAGUUGACAACUUGUCUCAUUGUCAAUUUCCAAGCUGAGAAGGGUUCACGUACCUUGAGAAUGGCUAUAUCGUCACAUGACCGUGGAUUUAAUGCUUUCUGAGUGUUCCAGAGUUCGUAUCUAUAUAUUCGUUUAACAGUGUAGUCGUUGCCACGCUGGUGAACACUAGCAACUCCUGCUUUGACAAACAUCUGGUGCGGGAGCCGGAAGUAAGGAGAUGUCAUAAAUGUUUCGUUGUAGUAGACGGUACAGUGUGCAGCAGUCAGUACAUGAGUUGGGCUAAUGAGCGAUCCGCUACAGAAGAACUCGCGCAGGACUCCAUUUACCAUGUUCACGGAAUUGAUGAAGACAUUUGAUGGAAAUUCUUCAAUUAGGGCGUCUUCCCCAUUAAUCAUUCUUGCUAGUCGUCGUGCCUCAACAUCUUUUUAAGGGAUCGUAGAAUAUAAAACAGAUGUAGAUCAACGAAAUUGUAUUAAAUUUUGCAAAAAACAUGCUGGUCGGUGUGAUAGGCAACAUACUGAACAAUGGAUCACUAAAGGCCAGUUUUAUGUAUUAUUGGAUGCCUGUGCCAUAAGGCGAGAAUUAUAUUCGAUAAUACACGUGUUUACAAAUGAAGAAUGUUCACAUUGAGAAUAAAUUUGGUCUGGUUUAGUAUACAUCUAAUGGCCCUGGCCAGAUAAGGAAGUCCGCAUUCCUCGAACUGCAUAUUCUUUCGGUUUUAUGAUUCCACAUAAAAGAGAAGAUAAUAUUUUCUGAAGGUUAAAAGAUCGAGCGCAUAAAUUCCAAUGGUGUUUCGGCCAUUUUUGUGACUGAUGGUAAAUUGAUAGGGGGUAUAAAACAAUCAAUAAUAACUUUUGACGUCUGGCUUCGUUGAAAAACAGAAUUUUUCCAUAAUAAAAAAUCCAUUUCUCCCGAUUAAGCACAUUCAUCAGGAAAUAUUUUCCGAACCAUGUGAUGUAAAUCACUUUUCACACGGACCUAAAACAUGGGGAAGUAUAUUCAUGAAUUUUGUUUUGUGUUUCCAAUUGGGUGACGUGGAAAGAGUCUCCCUGUAAAUACUUUAUUUCUACAAAUAUGGAAAAUCAUGAGCGAGAAUGUAUGAAGUAAUGAAUAGAUUCUUCAAAAAAUCAUCAUCUAUCCUUUCGCAAUCCAUGUUUUUCUUUAUAAUGUUCCGAUUUGCAUGCCAACCUUUUGUUGGGAGAAAUUAUAAAAAAAACGUUGAGCGCCUUCGCCGAGAUUUGAACGCUCCACCGCAGAAAUUGCCGAGUGGUGGGGACGAAACGCGCAUGAGGGGAAGACGAUGUACACCGCCGCGCAGGGCUUCCGGAGGUACUUGUCCCAUGUUUUCGUGUCGGCGACAUCAAAGGUUGACACUACCUCCCUGUAUCAUACCUUACGCAGAGUUAAUAGAGAUGAGAGUCGACUAGGGGGGGUUAAUCGUCGCAAGAGGCACUUGGGUAAGAGUUAAGCGUCGAGGACGUCAAGUGGAUCAUUUAGGGUAGGGUCACACGUCACGAGAGUCAUUCCGGACAGGGUCAAACGUCACGAGGGUCACCAGUGGGUCCGUUGGAGUCAUAAAGUCAUCCGAGGCAGAGUCGAGAGUUAUGAAAGUUGCGGUUGAAGUCAUGAUUUUUGAAGUGAAAACUUCUUAUGGCGCGUUGGGUACUUUUUUGGAUUUGUCUUGAAAAUGGAUGCGGUUUUAUAUGAAGAAUUUGAUUUAACGAUGUCCAAUGAUCGCAAUCUUAGCACAACAAAAUACAAAACUACUAUUGAUGCAGUAUUCACAAGAUAUAUAAAUAGAUUUAAAUCAAAAUUGUUCAUUUCAUACUUUAGUUACCAUAGACCUAUUGUUUCAGUUUUAGAAUUUGAUGAAAAUCCUGAUAAUAAUGAUGAAAAUGCUGAUAAUGAUGAUGUAAGAGUUGUUGAAAUUAUGGAUGAGAAUUGAUAAAUUUUGUAUUGACUAUUUACUAAUAUUUGCUCAUUUAAAUAAAACCACUUUCUUCGAAUAUAGUUUCUAUAUUAUUAUACUUCAUGUCCAUUCAGCAAGUGCCCACAUUGCUUUGAUAAACUUGAUUUUUUAUGUACAACUUCUCAUGUCGCGAGCGCACCUAAAAAUGCUCAGCCAAAAAAGUGCUCAACGCGCCAUAAGUUCAAGUUUUCACUUCUGCCUGCACUCCCGGAGUGCAACCCUUCGUUUUUUUUGCAAUUGAGACUAUCAAGAAGCAGGAAGCCUCUCAUCGCCCUGGAGAAGGAGAAAUCCCACCAUCAGUGCUUUCCUAUUUCAAAUUUAAAUUAUAAUUCAUUUAAAUCAGUCCUUUCAAUGUUAUUGGAAAAUAUGAAUAGGUAGUACUAUUACAUAUUUGAGGGAACCAUUUCAAGUAAAAUUAAGUAAAGACCAUAUUGGGAACAUUAUUUAUUUUAUGUACCCCAUCAAUUUCGUAAUAUUGCGGGAAACAUUUCAU